GCCUGAUGCAGCGACGCGCGUNGAGUGAGAAAGGCUUUCGGGUCGUAAAGCUCUUUGUAGGGAAGGGGAAGGACGGUACCCUGAGAAANAGCGUCGGCUAACUACGUGCCAGCAGCCGCGGUAAGACGUAGGACGCGAGCGUUAUCCGGAAUUACUGGGCGUAAAGGGCCAGCAGGCGGCUAGGUAAGUUGUGCGUGAAAGCCUCGUGCUCAACGCGAGGAAGCCGGACAAUACUGUCUAGCUGGAGGGCAUCAGAGGGGAGUGGAAUUCCCGGAGUAGCGGUAAAAUGCGCAGAUAUCGGGAGGAACACCGAUGGCGAAGGCAACUCCCUGGGGUGUACCUGACGCUAAGUGGCGAAAGCUAGGGGGGCGAACAGGAUUAGAGACCCUGGUAGUCCUAGCUGUAAACGCUGGGUGCUAGGUGUGGGGCGUAGAAGCUCUGUGCCGGAGCGAACGCGAUAAGCACCCCGCCUGGGAAUUACGGUCGCAAGGCUAAAACUCAAACGAAUUGACGGGGCCCCGCACAAGCAGCGGAGCGUGUGGUUCAAUUCGAUGCUACACGAAGAACCUUACCUGGGUUUGACAUGUACGUGGUAGAGAAGCGAAAGCGGAUUGACCCUUCGGGGAGCGUACACAGGUGCUGCAUGGCUGUCGUCAGCUCGUGCCGUGAGGUGUCGGGUUAAGUCCCGUAACGAGCGCAACCCUUGCCCUUAGUUACAAGUGUCUAGGGGGACUGCCGGCGGGAAGCCGGAGGAAGGUGGGGAUGACGUCAAGUCAGCAUGGCCCUUAUGUCCAGGGCUACACACACGCUACAAUGGUCAGUACAAAGGGUAGCGAAGCCGUGAGGUGGAGCGAAUCUCAGCAAAGCUGAUCGUAGUUCGGAUUGCAGGCUGCAACCCGCCUGCAGAAGCUGGAGU
rnacentral:rRNA from 1 species